CCUACAUCUUAGGGCUGUGCAAAGUCUGUCAUGGAGCCAGGGCCUCACCACGCUGCCCACCCCCUCACAACAGGCCACGCCCACGGCCCCUCCAGCUGUCGCUAGAUGUCACCUCCGGGCCUGCUUCCUCUACACCAGUUAGUGUCCCUGGUGGGAGGGCGCGGGCUGGGACGGGAGAGGAGCCUCGGUUCUGCUGCCGUCGCUCCACCCUGUAACCCUCACCAGAACGACCAAGAUGGAGGGUGGGGCAGACUUGCCUUGUUUUCUUCGACACUGUGACUCAGCUCUGAAUCUCAGCGUUUCUCCUCCAUAAAAUGACAUUCAUAACAGGGACUUGCCGAGACAGGUGAGGCGUGAGGGCCCAGAUAGGCGCCUGGUUCAUGGUAGGCGCUCUGGGAAGGACAGAGCUACGAAAAGAGAUUAAAUUACUGCUAUUGCAAAAAGGACGCGGCUAAGAUGGAGUUAGCCAGAUACAGAGGAGCUAGCAUACACACAGAGGUUGGGCUUGGAAGAAAUCAAAAAUGCGGAGUAACCAGUUUCCUUUCAACUGGACCAGCUGAGAAAUGGACUUUCUGUAGACCCUGCAGUCCAAGGCCUGAACCCCAACCAGUUAUUCGAAACCUACAGAGCCACCUGUGUCAGGUGACACCAGAUGACUAAGCAAGUUCCCAGUCUCUCCUUAUGUAUGUAAGACCCGGAUGAAGAAAGCGCUCUAGAGCUUCUCUUGGGAACCCUGGAGCUAGUUUUUUCUUCUUAUUUCUGAUAAACACUCUCCAAACUUCCUUUGUCCCAGAUUUCAUGCUUCAACAUUAUGAAACCAAAACAUCAGGUUUCUGCAGUCUGUACAAAGUUAACUGUUUUGCUAUUAAACAAUUAAGUAAUAAUAAACUAUUAAGUAAAGC
rnacentral:lncRNA from 1 species